rnacentral:rRNA from 1 species
UACGAGGGGGGCGAGCGUUGUUCGGAAUUAUUGGGCGUAAAGGGUGCGUAGGCGGUUUGGUAAGUCUUAUGUGAAAUCUACAGGCUCAACUUGGAGUCUGCAUGAGAAACUGCCGGGCUUGAGUAUGGGAGAGGUGAGUGGAAUUCCUGGUGUAGCGGUGAAAUGCGUAGAUAUCAGGAGGAACACCUGUGGCGAAAGCGGCUCACUGGACCAUAACUGACGCUGAGGCGCGAAAGCUAGGGGAGCAAACAGG